AGACAGUUCCCAGGGCUGCAAACCAGUGUGGUUUAUUUACCCAUUUCUCUUUACAGGUGACCCACUGACGAUAUACACUCUGCCCUCCUCCUCCACUCUGGGCUCUGCAGCACUGCUGAAAUGCCGGUUCAAUAUUGGGGGGCCAAUCAAUCUAACCGCCCUGCAGGUUCACUGGUAUUUCUCAGAUCAGAGCAUGGCGCAGUACGACCGAGGAAAGGAAACAUUCGCACCAGGGCUGCUCCAAGACUCUUCAUCCCCCGGCGAGAGGCCAGGACAGACACAGCGACCUCCUUCCCGUGCCACGUGUGGGGAUUCUACCCCCAGGACGUCACCGUCACGUGGCUGAGAGACAGGCGGGUUCUGACCAACGCCACCCACUCUGCCCCACAGAGGAACCCGGACGGGACCUUUAACCUCACCCUGACCUACACCUUUACCCCCACUGCGAGCGAUUCCGGCAGCAUCUUCUCUUGCCACGUCAGCCAUGUGGCUCUGGUCCAGCCCCUGCGGGAGGAGUUCGUCCUGGCUGUCACAGUUCAUGCUGCCUCUGCCUCUAGGUGACGGAGCAGGAGGCAGGGCAGAUUUGACCUGGGAAUGUUGCAGAGGAGUUACAUUGGGGAUGGGGGACUUCCCUUGAAGGAAGCUACCUGAGCUGUAACCUGAGCCAGGAGGGGGGAAGAAGUGACACCUGCCUUGGAGACUGAACAAAGGAGAGGAGGAACAGUGGGGAGGGGGAGAGAGAACUGCUGGAGGAGUUUUUGUUUUCAAUCUUGGACUUGGGGGUGCAACGCAAGGAACCCCAAGCUGGGGUCUAAGCUCCCUGAACCUAGACUUUGGUAUACCUAGACUUUAGUAAGGCAUUUGAUACGGUCUCGCAUGAUAUUCUGAUCAACAAACUAGGCAAAUACAACUUAGAUGGGGCUACUAUAAGGUGGGUGCAUAAUUGGCUGGAUAACCGUACUCAGAGAGUGGUUAUUAAUGGUUCCCAAUCCUGCUGGAAAGGUAUAACAAGUGGGGUUCCGCAGG
rnacentral:lncRNA from 1 species